UCGGACAAAAUAAAGUGGUCAGAGUCAGUGUGAGCUCUAACACCUCAGACCAUUUCUGUGUUUAAUAUGCCAGACAGGAGCGGAGAAUGGAGAGCAUCUUCCCUGGUGAUACAAUGAGAUUAUGCUUUUGAAAGUGUGUCAUCAGAGUGCUCUACAAAAGUAAGAGGUUUUAUCCAGCUGCGUAGCUGAUUUGCCUGGAGGAAGACCGCGGGGCCUGGUGGAGGCUGGGGAGGUACUCAGACCUGCUCCACCCCAUUACAGGGUCUUUGGCUUCAUGAUUGUUGAUUGUAAUGGUCACACAUAUCCCUGGAUGCUACCGAGUCCCCAUACCCAGUGCUUCUGCCAGAUGAUGUGCCCCGAUUUGGGGAUGGGAAAUGUGGUCUUUUCCUGCAAUGCCCUGCAAGAGCCCACCCUUGAACAGUGUCUGUUUAGCAGCCACCGGAGGUGCUGGGAUGGCCCUUGUGAAGCCUGGCAGGUGCCUGCUUGCCAGUGAAGCCUCAGUCGGUGCCCCCCAUAUGAUCCUCCUAACCCCAUCCACACUCCACACCCAUCUUAGGUAGUGGGAGAAGUGUUGGGUCAGGUCUCAGCCUGGCACCAGAUGCCAUCCCCGGAGCAAAGGCAAAGUCCAGAGGCAGCUUUCCACACGAUGGCCAGGUCAGGCAAGUGAGAGAUAAGGGCCACACUUUGGACUCCACAGCCAGAGAGCCGAGGGUAGGGGGUGGGGUGCGGCAGGGGUCCCUGGCUCCUACACCCUUCUGCCGGCAGGCAGUCCCCUCCCCUGCCUGGUUAAAGGAGGAAGACAGGCAGGGGUAGGACGGAAUAGCGGCAAUCGCUGCAUCCAGAAAGAGAGGUGGGCCCCUGCCACCGACCACUCGGUCAUCACCUUGGCAGCCUCGGCGGCGGCGCCGGACCUCACGGGGGUCUGGGCGGGACAGAGGGCGGAGCGCGGUCCCAUCCCUUCCGUCAGGCAGGUGGGUGGUGAGUUCAAGUGCGAACGCGAAAGGGGAAGGGGCUCUGCGAAGGUAGUUCUCCUAGCGCGGGGCGGCAGGACCCUGGCCCCCAGGGCCCCACGGGCGCCCGCGCUGCGCGGCCAGCCCGAGGCCCGCGGCGAGAGGCGGUGCCAGGCGCGUCCCCGCCCUCCUGCCCGCCCCGCCCGAACCGACCCGGCCAGUCCCUGCGCUGCCGGAGCCCCGCGGGGCGCUCCGUCCCAGACCCAGGCUAGGCAGCGGGGCUGGCAUCGCUGGGGAAGCCGUGGGCGACCGGGAGCCCUGCGGGCCGGGGCGGACAGCGCGGGCAUCGGGCACAGGGACACCUGCGGGCACAGCCUCAGAGGACCCCCCUCUCCUGGACAUGGAGCUAUGACUCUUUGGAGGUGAUCCAUGAGAGAAGAGAUGCAGGACUUUGGUCCUCCCGAUGGGGGUCCCCUCCAAGGACUUGUAGCUUCCCGCAUUGAGACUUACGGGGGCCGGUCUCAAGCCUCCCCCCAGAGCACUGCUGGCAGUCUCUACCCCCAAGGAGGCCCCCUGCUGGAACCCAGUCGCCGCCGCCUACAGAACAAUGUCCCAUUUGCCAAGGGUUCUGGCCAGGCCCGAGGCCUGCCUCCCAUCAGAUUGCGAGAACUAGAGCCUGAGAAGAGACAUGGGGGCCAUUAUGGGGCUGUCCCACCUCACUCUCCCAAAUUCAAGGACGUCAGCAAGGCCCGAGCGCUGGAGGUGCGGCUGCAUACAUUCAGCAUGUUCGGGAUGCCUCGCCUGCCCCCUGAGGACCGCUGCCACUGGGAAAUAGGAGAGGGCGGCGACAGGGGCAUGGUCAUCGAGAAGUCCUGGAAGGAGCUUGUACCUGGGCACAAGGAGAUGAGCCAGGAGCUCUGCCACCAACAGGAAGCACUGUGGGAGCUACUGACCACAGAGCUGAACUACGUGCAAAAGCUCAAGAUCAUGACCAGCCUCCUAGCUGCCGGUUUGCUGAACUUGCAGCGUGUGGGGCUGCUGACUGAAAUAUCAGCUGAGACCCUGUUUGGAAAUAUCCCCAGCCUGAUUCGGGUGCACCGGAGCUUCUGGGAGGAGGUGCUGGGGCCCACCCUGGAGAAGACCCGUGCCUCAGGCCAGCCUCUGGACCCUGUCAGCCUGAAGAACGGCUUCUUGACGUUCAGCGAGCGGUUCCAGCCCUAUGUCCAGUACUGCCUGCAAGUGAAGCAGACCAUGGCUUACGCCCGGGAACAGCAAGACACCAACCCUCUCUUCCAGGCCUUCGUGCAGUGGUGUGAGAAGCACAAGCCUUCAGGGAGGCAGCAUCUGGGGGACUUGCUCAUCAAGCCCCACCAGCGCAUCACCAAGUACCCACUGCUGCUCCAGGCUGUGCUCAAGAGGAGCCCAGAGGCACAAGCCCAAGAGGCUCUGAACGCCAUGAUUGCAGCUGUGGAGUCAUUCCUGCGGUACCUCAAUAAACAGGUCCGCCAGGAUGAAGAGCAGGAGAGCUUGGUUGCUGCCGCCCAACGCAUUGGGCCCUAUGAGGUGCUGGAGUCAUCCAGUGAUGAGGUGGAGAAGAAUCUGCGUCCAUUCUGCACCCUAGACCUGAUGUCCCCCAUGCUGGGCAUCGCUCCUGAGCACACCAGGCAGCUGCUGCAGGAGGGUCCUGCGCGCAUGAAGGAGGGGCGAGAAGGGAAGCUCGAUGUGUACCUGUUCCUCUUCUCUGACAUGCUCCUGGUGACCAAGCCCCAGCGCAAAGCAGACAAAGCCAAGGUUAUCCGCCCCCCACUCUCGCUGGAGAAGCUUGUGUGCCGACCACUCCGAGACCCUCACAGCUUCCUGAUAAUCCACCUCACUGAAUUCCAGUGUGUUUCCAGUGCCCUCACUGUGCACUGCCCCAGUGCUGCAGACCGUGCCCAGUGGCUGGAGAAGACCCAGCAGGCCCAGUAUCACCGCAGCUCACCCUGCAGAAGCUGAAGACAGAGGAGUAUGUCCAACAGAAGAGGGAGCUCCUGGCUCUCUAUCGCGACCAGGACCACACGUCCCCAGGCACCAGGCCCUCCACACCUUCCCAAGAGGGUUCUCAGAGCAGCGCAGAGGGGAGGACUCCUGAGAUCUUGACCAUCAUCCCCCACCUCGUGGUGACAGAAGACACAGAUGAAGACACUCCCUCAGUGCCAGACAACACCUCCGACUCUGGCUACAGCACUCUGCUCCCAGGCUCCCACUCUCCGCUGCCCCAUCUAUUCUCACGGGCUCUUCGGCGGGAUCCUCGCCUCACCUUCUCCACCCUGGACGUCCGAGGUGUUCCUUUGCGCCCCCAGCC